GAAACAUGUGAUUUCGAUCUUGCUUGUGAUCUAAUUAUUGCAAAACAGCCUGGGAUGGUGGUACCAGAGCUGGUCAUUGGGGUGAAAGAUGGAAUCCAAUUCCAAAGGUGUGGACAACCCUGGAGACACUCAAGAGACGGUCCCACAGGGAACUGAACUCUGGGACAGAUACAGUCAGCAAGAGAGGGCCCGUCCGCAAAAACCCAAGGGAGGAAAUCUGGCAGAGCUUCCACAGGAAAUCAAUGAAGUGGUCACUUACAGGUCUUUACAUGAGGACAAAAUCCUGUAAAAAAAAUACAUAUUAAAAAGCUUGCCAUUUUCAAAAUG